GUGUGGCCCAGUGGUAGAGCUCUUGCUUAGCAAGCAUGAAGCCCUGGGUUCAAUUCCCAGUACACACA
rnacentral:tRNA from 1 species